AGCGGUAGUAAUAGUAGAAGUAGAAGUGGUAGUAGGCAACACUUACCGAACCCAGAUGCACUUUGACACAGGCAGUAUAACCAGAGGAUAUGUUUUAUUUUCAGUAUCAUCUUGAACCUGAAGCACUGGCAAACCAUGAUUGACCAACUCCCUGACCAACAUGGCUGAACUUAGGACCAUCGUAAGAAGUUUCCAACAGCCUGCCUGCUGCCUGACCUACAUACCUGUACCACCCCCGGCGUGAAGAGCCGCACUGCCCACUGCGAACACCAAGCUUGAUGGGUAAUGUGGUCUAACAUUGCUGGGCCAACAAAACCAAAUAAACUCAUGAAAGGAAAGUUACCAUACCUAAGAGGAGCACUGAACUGUUCAAAUGUCUUCCUUUCUAGAAAAAAAAGUCUGUACUAUUUUUUAGAUUUUCAAGUCCCAUUGAUUCAAAUCAGAUUCAGAGCCAAACAUAACCCAUGAUGCUAUGUUUUUUUGGAGCAAACUGAACCUUUGUAUCUGCCAAGCCUUAAGAAAAUGCUUCCCAACAAGCAAGAUCAUUCCAAUAGUUAUCUAAAAAUACUGGAUGACCUACAACAGACUGCCUGGGUAAAAUGAACCAGUUAAUUCACUACAAUUGUUUCAGUAACAGAAUACUGCAAAACCCUCAAAUUAAAAGACACAGACGUUGCACAGGGAAGUUGUACAGGGAACACAACAUUCUCUAAAUAUUGCUUGUUGACUGCAGGAGCUGUGUCAGACAUUACAGUACCAGCACAGUGGGUAGUCUGAACACCACAUACCUAUUCCCCAGACAAGGAGCCCUAUGUCUCUUCUCCAACAUGGCAGGACAAGCAGCAGAGCAGGAAGAGUCCUGUCAUCACCAGGACUGAGAGAAGGGUGCAGGUGCACUCUUAAGUGAAUUAAGAUGAUAAGCAAGUCAUUGGACGCUUAAUUUGAGGCUGGCAUAGCAAUCAACGCUUUCUCACUACUGGCUUUGACACAUAUAAGCCAUAAUAUGUAUUACAUGGAAGUCUAGAGUCUCUAGAGAUUGAGAAAAUAAUUUCAAAUUCUCUACUUCAAACUCUUCCUCAUAUACAGUACCAGUCAAAAGUUUGGAUACACCUACUCAUUCAAGGGUUUUUAUUUAUUUUUACAAUUUUCUACAUUGUAGAAUAGUAGUGAAGACAUGGAAACAAUAAAAUAACACGUAUGGAACCAUGUAAUAACCAAAAAAGUGUUAAACAAAUCAAAAUAUAUUUUAGAUUCUUCAAA